UAGUCCACGCCCUAAACGAUGCUAACUCGAUAUUUGGAUCUUGAAUCUGAGUGUCUAAGCGAAAGCGAUAAGUUAGCCACCUGGGGAGUACGUUCGCAAGAAUGAAACUCAAAGGAAUUGACGGGGGCCCGCACAAGCGGAGGAGCAUGUGGUUUAAUUCGAUGAUACGCGAGGAACCUUACCUGGGCUUAAAUGCAGGGCGAUUUCGGCCGAAAGGUCGUUUUCUUCGGACGGCCUGCAAGGUGCUGCAUGGUUGUCGUCAGCUCGUGCCGUGAGGUGUCGGGUUAAGUCCCAUAACGAGCGCAACCCCUAUCCUCAGUUGCCAGCACGUAAUGGUGGGGACUCUGGGGGAACUGCCUACGCAAGUAGAGAGGAAGGUGGGGAUGACGUCAAAUCAGCACGGCCCUUAUGUCCAGGGCUACACACGUGCUACAAUGGCCCGUACAGAGGGCAGCUACCCGGCAACGGGGUGCCAAUCUCUAAAACGGGUCUCAGUUCGGAUCGGAGUCUGCAACUCGA
rnacentral:rRNA from 1 species